rnacentral:rRNA from 1 species
GACGAAGGGGGCUAGCGUUGUUCGGAAUUACUGGGCGUAAAGCGCGUGUAGGCGGUUGCCCAAGUCGGGUGUGAAAGCCUUGAGCUCAACUCAAGAAAUGCACUCGGUACUGGGUGACUAGAGGACCGGAGAGGAUAGUGGAAUUCCCAGUGUAGUGGUGAAAUACGUAGAGAUUGGGAAGAACACCAGUGGUGAAGGCGGCUAUCUGGACGGUUUCUGACGCUAAGACGCGAAAGCGUGGGGAGCAAACAGG